GUGGCUGUGGUAUAGGCCAGCAGCUGCAGUUCCGAUUUGACCCCUGGCCCUGGAACUUCCAUAUGCUCCAGGUGCGGCCCUAAAGAGAAAAAAAAAUAGUAAUGUUCAUGAUAGCAAUUAAAUACAUCCCAUAUAUAUGAUUAUGUAGGAAUAUAUUUAAUUUUUAUUUAGGAAACAGGAAGCCAAGUGGAGAUUCCCUGACCUAUUAUUACUUAACUUGUUUAAUAUAGUGUGUGGAUUCAAAUGUCAUGAUCAGAUUAGCUGCCAGUAGAGCCUUAAGAGAGAGCACAACAUAACAUACUGCAUGUCAAAAUCUAAGUGCAAUCAUUCAUAGUUAUAGAAGUUUCCAGAACCUUUUUGUGCAAUACUCACGAAUGUGAUUCAUUUUACUGUUUAUUUAAUAGCAUAAUUUGGAAAAGUAGUAUUGACCCAUACUUAAAUUGGUUUGAUGUUCCAGUCAUACCCUGGAGAUGUUUGAUUUAUUCCUCAGCCAUUAAUGCCUAUAAUUCUAAGCAGCUAUCACUAGAUAGAAAUAAUCAUUACUUUAUUCAUGAAAUAUAUAUUGGUUUUCUACCAUGUGCUGGGCCCUACUCUGGGUGCUGAGAUACAAAGUUGAAUGAUACAUCUUCUUCAAGGAUUUUAGAGGGACAUAUGGAAUAGUCAACAAAGAAGGAGAGAUUUUGAAGGUUAACUAUUUCCAGGCAUAGAAGAUGAAGGUAAGAAACAAUUAAGAACUUUAUUAUACUCAGCAAAAGAGAACCAUUAUAAAAAAUGAAUGCAAUAGACUAAAAAGAAUAGGAAUGAUUUCUUAAUACUUUUUCUUAUUUAAAUAUAAUAGUUUUUUGACCCAGAGGAUGCAUGUGUGAAAUUAAAUCCAACCCACUGGUUUUGCAGUUAAAAACAAACAAACAAACCCUUGAGAGGCUAAAAUAAAGAUCUUCUAGCCAGUUUUAUGGUAAAGAUAUAGCUCAGUGGUCCUAAUUUUUACCCUGGAGUUGUUUCUAUUGCAGUGAACUGCCUUGUUUAUAUUCCCUCAUCCACUUGCCAAAUGUUUAUGGAGUCUCUCUGUUGUUCCAGAUACUCUAAUGAGCACAAGGCAUGUAAAGAUGAACAAAGUCCCAUUGGGAAGCAGGGAAGAAGAGGAGAGAACAAUUCCUGGGAUGCUGGGGCACCUGAAGCUCUGAGACCUGAUGGCUGAGUGAAUGAGGAGAAAAGCUGCAUGCAAAGUUCACAUCUAAGAGUAAUGUGAAGAGUGGAUAUGAUCCGUAACAGCCUGUAUCCAGGUGGUUCUAUGAAAAGACCACUGUAAUGAUCUGGGCAAAACAUGGUGAAAUGCUCAACCUGAUGAUGAAAGUGGGACAGGAAAGAAGGUGCGGAGGAGGGAAUUCAAAAACACAGAACACAGAACAUCGGAGGCAGAAGGGGAAAUUAUAGUGUGGCUCAUUACCAAGAGGGAAGAUUCUUCUGAUCAAAUUUAUGCAGACUGGGCAGAGAAGUAGAUCCAAGGAGAAGAAACACAACACAGCAAUGGGGAAUUCAGGGCCGCAUCAUCUUUGGUUCCACAUAUCCACGUAAGGCAGGGAGAAGUGUCCUUCUAAGGGACGCCCUGGGGAGAUUUGACAGACAGAAGAGGAGAAAGCAAUGUGACCAUGGAGACAGAAGCUUGAGCACAAGCCAAGGCUGUCAACAAACACUGGACAUUGGAUAAGAGAUGAAAAAACUGGAGAUCUGAUUGUGGCUUCCUUUGGAGGAUAUUCAGGGAGCAGAUGAAAAAUGCAUAGCAAGUUCGACAAAAUAUCUGCCUGGAAUCCUGUUGCCUAGAGACCAAUCCUGAAGAACAUUCACGGCCAUGGCCUCUUAGAGAUUUAAGACUUCUAAUGAGGAGCUGACAGAAAUCAUCAGCCUGUUCCCCAUCAAGUAAGAUUUUUUAAAAGUCACAAUAAAACACUUGUCUGGCUAUUACCCAUUCAGGUUAUCAUAACAACUAAAGUGCAGAGUGCAAAGGAGAAAAAAUAAAAACUCUAGAAAAUUCUAAAUUUGACAAAUCCAUGCAAAAAGGAUGUGUGGCAAAAAAAAAAAAAAAAAAAAAAAAAGGAAAGAAAAGAAAAUCUGUACUUUUUUUAAAUAGGAGACUCUUUCAGGCCCCCAUUCCUACAUUGAUAUUUUAAUUUUCAAAACUAUUCUAAAAGGCCCUAAUAUCUGUAUUUCUAGCUCUAUUAUUUGUCUGUUAACAUUCUCUUUUGCCCAAAGAACUUUUGGAGAGCAAGUUCAAUGAAAUGGCAUAAGGGCGAUUGUGAAUAAAGUGAACAACAAAGGAACGGUAGACACAGCUAUAAGAAUGCCGUAUCACACACACAAAAUCAACAAAGUGAAAAGGAAGCCUACAGAAUCAGAGAAAAUAUUUGCAAAUCAUGUAACUGAUGAUGGAUUAAUAUUCAAAAGAACUCAUAAAACUCAAUAGCCAAAUAUAGAUAGAUAGAUGGAUAGAUAGAUAGAUAGAUACCCAAUAUAAAAUGACGAAAGGGCCUAAAUAGAGAUUUUUCCAAGGAUAUUUAAAUUGCCAACAGGUAUAUGAUAAGGUGCUCAACAGCGCUAAUCAUCAGGGAAAAUGCAAAUCAAAACCAUAACGAUAUGUCACCUCAUGCCUAUUAGAAUGGCUGGCAUCAAAAAGACAAGCUAACAAAAGCUGUUGAAAACAUGGAGAAAGGGGGACACCUGUGCAUUGUUGGUGGGGUUAUAAAUUGGUGCAGCCCCUACAGAAAACCGUAUGGGGAUUUAUCAAAAAAUUAAAAAUAGAACUAUCAUAUGAUCCAGCAAUUCUGUUUGGGGGUAUUUAUCUGAAAGAAAUUAAAUCACUAUUUUGAAAAGACAUGUGCACCCUCAUGUUCACUGCAGCAUUAUUUAUACUAGCCAAAGGACUUCUGAACAGCAAGUUCGAUGAAAUUGCAUAAAGGCGACUGUGAAUAUAGUCAGCAAAGACAUGGAAACUACUUAAGUGUCUGACACAUUGACAGAUGAAUGGAAAAGAAGAUGGGGAGUACAUCUGACUAAUACUCAGUCAUGAGAAAGAAGGAAAUCCUGUCAUUUGCAACGUGGAUGGACCCCAAGGGCAUUAUACCAAGGAUAGUAUGAAAGAAGAAACGGAGGUAGGGUUGCAUCAAGGAACUAUUUCUUCUUGAUAGAAGUAUAAAAUCAAGGUUCUGCCCACUUCUACUCCAUCCUCGCCUUUGUUUACUCUUUCUUGAGGAGCUCUACAAGGAAGCAGCCUUACGCCAUUUUUCAGAUGAAGAAAGAUGAUAAGUAAUUGAUGGAGCUGAGAUUUGAAGGCAGGUCUAAAUGAAUUCAAACUAAUUCUCCCUGCUCCUCUCAAAUAAAUAGUGACUAAAUGUAUGUUCAAGAUAGAAAAGUGAAGAAUGGACGGUCUUUUUACAAUUCAUUGUGUUAAUACCAGUCUUUCUGGCCACUGGGAUUCUUCAGAAUGAAGCAGAUGCAUGAAAUAGAAGAAGUGGCACUGAAGAUGGACCAUGCCUCUUUAUCUUAUCCCACUUGCAAAGCCAAGGUAAGGAUCUGGGUCUAAAAAUACUUUCCACCACCAAUAUAUGUGCAAGCCUAUUGCAUACAAUCUGUUUUCCAAAGCCUUUAAUGAAAUAAACUGACUUGCACCUUAUGAUCACAUAUUCUUCCAGGGAGUUCUACUUAAAUAACUGCAUAAUUUCUUUUACUACAUAACUGACAUCAUUGUGACACUCUGAGAGUUCACAGGGGCUCUUUGAUAGAGAGAAAAACUUAGAUUUAGGACAUUUAAAAAGCAUAUUAAGAAAGCCUGUUCUUCUCAUUUGAUAAAUCUUAAUGUGUUUAUUAAUGGAUGACCAAAGGGUACUAAAUUAGGAAGAAAUAAUCUUGAGUGUGCAGUGACUACAAAAAAAUUCACCAUUAUUAAGGCUAAAAAUAUGAAAUACAUUCUUCUGAAAAUUGGAAAAUUGCACCUUAAAAAUAUUGAUGGUGGAAUACCAAGCUAAUGGACUACUGGAUGUCAAGUUCCCUGGUUGUGAUAGGUUUAUGGAAACUUCCCCAAAUAUAAUUAGCUUUAAAUAUCUCUGUAAGUAGACAAUAGUAGCUGUGUAUACUGUGUAUGACAAUGGUCAAGCAUAAAACCACUUAAUGGCCUCUAGAAUGUGUUAUAUAUUUUAGGAUAAUAUUUGCUUCAAAAUUCUUUGCUUAACAAUAAAAUUAUUCUACAAGCUAGUGAGUAAUAAAGGGAUUUUUAGGGAAUAAUAAAGGAAAUGCUUAACCAGGAUUUAAGAAUUCACUAGGAUAAUCUAUCCAAUUAUAAUUUUGACUAUGAUCAAGGCUAAAAAAAAUUACCUAUCAAUAAAGUGAAUUAUAAGGAAGAAAUAGAACACCCUAUACUAGGGUUAUCUGAAACUAUUCCUUCGAAACUCCAUUUUUUACUUUUCCUGUUAUUAUAUGCAGUUUUAAUAUGGUAUUACUUCUAAUCUCUCAAGCACUGCUGUCAGAUAAACCUAAUUAUUUCCCAGAAGUGGUCUGCAACUGGAAGAAAAAUGAAGCAGAAAAUGUAUUCAUCUAUGAGGUUCCCUGAACUGUGAGAAAUCAAUGUUGAUUGCCUAAGCUACCCAGUCUACGUAUUCUGCCACUGCAGCCUGAACAGACAGAGACUCGAAGGCAUGUCGCUAUUCCUCUCCCACAGCCCUGAGGUCCUGCCCGACGGCAUCACUGAAUCUUGGUGUCUCAGUACCCACACUGCUCGCACACCACCAUGCUGAAGAUGCUGAAUCUUUAACAAGGAAGCGCAGAUUUCAGAUAUUCAGGAUCCAUGCUGCACAGUUUAAUACACCUACCCACAUCUCAUCUGCCAUCACCUCAGAUUCAGAAACAAGACCAUCAUAUUUCAAAGAAGAAAAUAUGAAGAGACAGAAUAAAAUAUUUGUUCCUGUUUAGGAAGAAAUUGUAUCUAUUUCUUUAGUGGGCUAUGGUAGCAUAUAUAAAUGGUUUCCCUCUCUUUCUCUCUUUUGGAGCUUCUUGUUAACUGUUUUGUUCUUUAGGAAAAGAUCUGUGGUGGUGUGGAUUGAAAAGGUUAUCCUGUCAUCAUUGUACCCAGGAAUCCCAUCUGGAGUGAAAUUUACCAGCAGUUUCACAUUGAUGUUGUACUGUCCUGUGUGGUCUUCUGUCAAAUCUAUAUGCUAUCUAGAAUAAAGAGUUCACCUUUAUUUAUUAGCACAUUUAAACAAUUACAGUGUUAAACAUCUACACUGUUGUAGAAUUGUACUGUAACAAUUGACAAUAUUCUAACUAUUGAAAAUAUUUACUGUAUAUUAUUUUUUAAAAGCUCAAAGAAAAGUAGGAUUUAGGGAGCCUGGAAACCUCUAAAAUUAUUUGUGAAGUUGUGUAUUGAUAUGAAUCUGUUAGAUGAUCCAACAGUUUAGGUCACAAUUUCAAAAGCACCUGUGGUGGCAAUCCCCCUCCAAAAAAAUUAAAAAAAAAAACUUUUAAGUAAAAUGGACUUAGAAGAGUGCACAAAUAAUACUUUUAAGGGUUACUCAUAUAUUAAGAGAACUCUCUUCCAAUUUAUGGUCUAGCUCUGCGCCUGUGCCUGGAAAAACUCACACAUCUUUCUAGUCCCAAUAACCCCUGGCAGGAUUCAAUAUGUCAGGAAUAAAACUACCCUUGAAUUCAUUUCCCGAACAUUGUUUUUUAACAAUAUAUGAUCAUUAGCUGUCCUGAUAGACUCUGAGAUUCUCAUGGGCAGGAACCUGAUCCUUUUAUCUUUUUUCAUCAUUAUAAUAUAAGAAGGGGAAGGGACACCCGAGCUUCCUCUCUCUGCCAUAUGAGGACACAGCGGGAAGACAGCUCCCUGAAACACAGGAAGGAUGUCCUUGUCAAGAACCGAAUCUAUCAGCACUUUGAUCUUGGACUUCCCAACCUCCAGAACAGAUAUAUGCAAUGAGUAAUGUGACAAGAAAGAGACUGUGAUUCUUAUUGGUGGCAAAGUCACAGGGGCUGCUGAUACCACCGUGGUUUCUUACCUACAUUAAGAAAUGACAGAAAUGCUACCGGGUUCAGAGAUUUGUGCAAAGGCGUAAAAAGAGCAUUCCUCCUGUUACCUGUAAGAAUUUCUUUCUUCUUUCUCUUUCCUUAAGAAUGAAUAUCAAAACUACAAAUUCUACUUAUCUCUGCGUUACUAUGGGUUGAAUAGCCAAGGCUUUCACCCGUGGCACUUUCAGAUGGAAUCCUAUUACACUUUAUGAGGUUAUCAUCUCCCUCUGAAAUUUUCAUUAGUUAUGGGUGUGUUCAUCCUCAGAUUUUGCAGGUGGGAGACACUGAAAGAUAGUGUGCUCUGGCCAGCAGCUGCCUGCCAGAAUUCUUCCAACAUAAUGGAAUAAAAAUCACUGUGUGUGCAUAAUUCUUGCCUCCUCAAUUUUAUCAAUAAGACAUUUUACCUCCAAAAAUUAUGCAAGUGAAUUAGACUCAUACAAGAGGCUGUUGCCUUGAUAGUCACAGGCUGGCACAUCACAUUGUUUCAUGGAUAGAACACAUCCAAAUACAUGAAUUGUGCAAGAGCAGACCUGAAUGGAGAUAGGUCAGACCACAGCAAGACCUCCUAGUAUAUGCCUGAGGCAAGUUUCAGUGUAAAGCGCUUCCUUCCUUUGGGUUCUGGACCUUUAAACUUUUCCUACUUGAGGCACUGAACAUUGAUAGAGCACACUGAAUGAAAUACCAAGGAAACAUGACAAGGAGGUUAAAUCCUUAUAAUCAAGCUGGCUUUUGAGUUCUAAUUCUUAUCAUCUGAUUAUAAUGUAUCAUAAUCAGUAUGACUCAAAAGUGAUGGCUGACUCCCUGGAAAUCACUCCUUUUACUCUGCAAUGAUACCUUAUUUGUACUCCAUGAAACAAAUUCUCUGAAAUCAAUCACAUAUCCAAAUUAUGUGUUGAUUUUUUUCUAAGCAAAUAUUUAUCCAGAUGAUAUUUGUUGAUUUAGAACUCAUAAAAUGUCAGCUUUUUCAUGCUUAAACAGAGGAUUACUUGUGUUUUCAACAAGCAGCUAUGGACCAUUCUAUUGUUUGAGCCCCAUACCUUCAAUGGUACGUUGGCAGACCCACUUCUGGUCCUCUUGGAGUCUAAUGUGUGGAAGGGCAGACAGAUAAUUUAGGAACUUGAAUAAAAUGAUAAAUAAUAACAGGGCAGAGAAAGAAUACUACUAUGGCAGCAUGUGGGAGGGACUUUAAUCCAGAUGGACAAUAAGAAAAUGCUCCGCCAAAACAUGAUAUUUAGAUUGUCAUAAGGUCUUACAGCAAUGAAUAAUUUUCAUUUAUCCCAUCUUGAAACCUCCAGUUCUUUAGGAACCAGUGGGAAGUGGCAGAAAAAGGUCAUGCACACAUAGUUUUAAAUGCCAGCUCAGUGCAUAGCAGCUGUGUGAAAUCAGACAAAUUGCUUAAUUCUGAGUCUCAGCCUCCUCAUCUGUACAGACAAGAAUAAUACCCAGGUCAUGAUGGCUAUUCUGAAGAUUAAUAAACCAAUAUAUAGUAAGCAUCUGGGACAGAGAAUGCAUUAAAUAAAUGAUAGUUUCCUUCACGCUAAUAAUUCCUGCCACCACCAUAUACACUUUCUCUUAUAAUAUCCAAUUCUGAUAUCUAUCUAAUGAAAGUAGCCCUUAAAACCUGGACUACAUGAGCAGCUGUGAGUUGAUUAGUUUUGGGCUCAGUUCAAUGGAUGAGUAAAGAUGGAUCCUCACAUAAACUGCUUUGUUAAGGCAACAUAUUCAACUCAGAAGGAACCAAUAUACCAAGAAAUGCUGCAAUAUAAAAUAUAAAAAGCGCAUAGAAGAAAAUAAAGGCAUCCACUUACCCUGCCAUCUUAGGAGGUCUAUUCAAGCUGAUUAGUGAAGGACAGACCAAUUCUGAUAGUGAAAGAAUUUUGAAAGGAUGGAGAAUGUUUUAAGGGAGGCUAAAAUAGAUGUAAAACACUUUUCAGGAGGAAGGGGAGAAAUGCAGCAUAUUCCUGAUUGGCUUGCUAUGUUCUCUCUUGCACUUCUCUUCAGGACAUCUUGCUCGCACCCCUACACAUUUUUCAACACCUCUUAAUCCCAAAUCUAGAUGUGGUGCUCCAAGCUCCCCACUGAGUUCAGAUUGGUGCACUCUAUCCACUCACUGAAGGCCCACUCAAGUUGGCUUAAAGGCUAUAGAGCCUAUUACCCCACCCCACCACUCAACAUACUAACUGAACCUUCUUGAAUAUCCCCCUUCAGUUCCCAACACACACCAUCCACCCACUCAUCCAAAACUUCAAGCUUGAUUUGGACUCAUUCCUCGUGUUUAGCCCCAAUCCCUAGCCCCAAAUCCCACCAAUCUGUAAGUUCUCAUCUCUUCUAUCACUUCAUCCCACAGUCCGGGAAAUUAUCAAACAGCACCAGCCCUCUCCAAAUGUGCUUGGAAGAUUGGCAGCAUCAAUAUCACAUGAGAGUUGGUUAAAAAUGCAGAAUUCCAGGUUCCACACUAGACCUAUCAAAUCAGAAUCUGCAUGUUAACAAGGUGUUGUGCUAUUUAUUAUAGGAACUAAAUAUUUGGUUUUCAUCCCAUUUCUGUCAUGGAACCAGAAUUUCCCCUGGAAUUUCCUAAGAUAAAAGUAGUGAAGAUGUCUCGAUAUUAAAAACAAACCCCUUUCAACCACAUCUGAGUUUAUGUUAAUGAGGUGAGUUGGAAAGCACCUGAAGAUGGGGCCUGGUUGCCAUGGAAACCAACCUUGUGAUUAGAGGGCUGGGACUUUGAUUCCAAACCCCUGAGUUCUGGGGGAAGAGAGGAACUAGAGACUGAGUUCAAUCAUUAAUAGUCAGUGAUUUAAUCCAUCAUGUCUAUGUAAUGGAGCCUCUAUAAAACCACAAAAGGACAAGGUUCAGAGAGUUUCCAGGGUUGGUGAACAUGUAGGGAUUUGUGAAAAGGGACAUGCAGGGGGAGGGCAUGGAAGCUUCUAACCCUUCCCCCAUACCUUGCCCCAUGCAGCUCUUCCAUCUGGCCGUUUCUCAGUUAUACUGUUUUAGUCUAGUAAAAAAAAAAAUGUUUCUCUAAAUUCUAUGCAAAUUACAGAUACAAAUAUAGCAUGCCCACAUAUCCACUACCCAUGCUUAUCACAUGGUAAUAAUUUAUAAUAUCUGUUUCGGAUUUGUAAUUUUUAAGUAAGAAAAUAUUAAAGUUGAUACCCUCUUUCCUACUCUUCACAGGGUGACCAACUUGUUGCAGGACUAAGAGGUUGCAGCCCUGAAGGUCCUGCAUCCCAGGAAACCCCUUGGUUCUGGCCAAUCCUGAAAUUCAUGUGUCCAUUUCUCUCCCCCUCAUAUCUACACAUUUACCACCUGUGCAUGUCUCUGUAAGUAAGAUACACAGUUAUUUUGUGUUUAACUUUACACAAAUAGUACCAUGUUCUCUUUUUCUAUUAGCUCUUUUUCACACACCACUGCAAUUCUGAGAUUUACACUAACACUAACAUGCAGAGAUUUAACUGC